rnacentral:rRNA from 1 species
UGGCGGCGUGCCUAAACAUGCAAGUCGAGCGAACAGACGAGGAGCUUGCUCCUCUGACGUUAGCGGCGGACGGGUGAGUAACACGUGGAUAACCUACCUAUAAGACUGGGAUAACUUCGGGAAACCGGAGCUAAUACCGGAUAAUAUAUUGAACCGCAUGGUUCAAUAGUGAAAGACGGUUUUGCUGUCACUUAUAGAUGGAUCCGCGCCGCAUUAGCUAGUUGGUAAGGUAACGGCUUACCAAGGCAACGAUGCGUAGCCGACCUGAGAGGGUGAUCGGCCACACUGGAACUGAGACACGGUCCAGACUCCUACGGGAGGCAGCAGUAGGGAAUCUUCCGCAAUGGGCGAAAGCCUGACGGAGCAACGCCGCGUGAGUGAUGAAGGUCUUCGGAUCGUAAAACUCUGUUAUUAGGGAAGAACAAAUGUGUAAGUAACUAUGCACGUCUUGACGGUACCUAAUCAGAAAGCCACGGCUAACUACGUGCCAGCAGCCGCGGUAAU